GACGAACGCUGGCGGCGUGCCUAAUACAUGCAAGUUGAGCGCUGAAGGUUGGUACUUGUACCGACUGGAUGAGCAGCGAACGGGUGAGUAACGCGUGGGGAAUCUGCCUUUGAGCGGGGGACAACAUUUGGAAACGAAUGCUAAUACCGCAUAAAAACUUUAAACACAAGUUUUAAGUUUGAAAGAUGCAAUUGCAUCACUCAAAGAUGAUCCCGCGUUGUAUUAGCUAGUUGGUGAGGUAAAGGCUCACCAAGGCGAUGAUACAUAGCCGACCUGAGAGGGUGAUCGGCCCCAUUGGGACUGAGACACGGCCCAAACUCCUACGGGAGGCAGCAGUAGGGAAUCUUCGGCAAUGGACGAAAGUCUGACCGAGCAACGCCGCGUGAGUGAAGAAGGUUUUCGGAUCGUAAAACUCUGUUGGUAGAGAAGAACGUUGGUGAGAGUGGAAAGCUCAUCAAGUGACGGUAACUACCCAGAAAGGGACGGCUAACUACGUG
rnacentral:rRNA from 1 species